rnacentral:rRNA from 1 species
AGGUUACUGCUAUCGGAGUUCGAUUAAGCCAUGCGAGUCUAAAGGUUUCUUCGGAAACCUUGGCGGACCGCUCAGUAACACGUGGAUAACCUACCCUUGGGACUGGAAUAACCCCGGGAAACUGGGGAUAAUACCGGAUAGAUCAGGGAUGCUGGAAUGCACCUUGAUCCAAAGCUCCGGCGCCCAAGGAUGGGUCUGCGGCCAAUCAGGUAGUAGUGGGUGUAACGUACCUACUAGCCAACGACGGGUACGGGUUGUGAGAGCAAGAGCCCGGAGAUGGAUUCUGAGACACGAAUCCAGGCCCUACGGGGUGCAGCAGGCGCGAAACCUUUACAAUGUGCGAAAGCAUGAUAAGGGAACUCCGAGUGCCAGUAUCUAAUACUGGCUGUCCUUGUGCCUAAAACGCACAAGAUAGCAAGGGCCGGGUAAGACCGGUGCCAGCCGCCGCGGUAACACCGGCGGCCCGAGUGGUAGCCGCUAUUAUUGGGUCUAAAGGGUCCGUAGCCGGUUCGAUAAGUCCUCUGGGAAAUCUGGUUGCUUAACAAUCAGACUGCCAAGGGAUACUGUCGAACUUGAGACCGGGAGAGGUAAGAGGUACUUCAGGGGUAGGAGUGAAAUCUUGUAAUCCCUGGGGGACCAUCUGUGGCGAAGGCGUCUUACCAGAACGGGUCUGACGGUGAGGGACGAAAGCUGGGGGCGCAAACCGGAUUAGAUACCCGGGUAGUCCCAGCCGUAAACGAUGCUCGCUAUGUGUCAGGUACGGUGUGACCGUAUCUGGUGCCGUAGGGAAGCCGUGAAGCGAGCCACCUGGGAAGUACGGCCGCAAGGCUGAAACU